CCCUUAGAUGUUCUGGGCUGCACGCGCGCUACACUGAUGCGCUCAACGAGUUUACGACCUUGCCCGGAAGGGUUGGGUAAUCUUUUUAAAACGCAUCGUGAUGGGGAUAGAUUAUUGCAAUUAUUAAUCUUUAACGAGGAAUUCCUAGUAAGCGCGAGUCAUCAGCUCGUGCUGAUUACGUCCCUGCCCUUUGUACACACCGCCCGUCGCUCCUACCGAUGAGUCGUCCGGUGAAGUUCGUAGACCUCGUGAUCGCGGAUCACUGGGGGAAGCAAAAUGAACCUCGCGGUUUAGAGGAAGGAGAAGUCGUAACA
rnacentral:rRNA from 1 species